GACAGAGGGUGCAAACGUUGCUCGGAAUUACUGGGCGUAAAGCGCGUGUAGGUGGUCACCCCAGUCGGAUGUGAAAGCCCAGGGCUCAACCCUGGACGUGCAUACGAUACUAGGUGGCUGGAGUCUCGGAGAGGAUAGCGGAAUUCCCGGUGUAGAGGUGAAAUUCGUAGAUAUCGGGAGGAACACCAGUGGCGAAGGCGGCUCACUGGACCGGUACUGACGCUGAUGCGCGAAAGCGUGGGGAGCAAACGGGG
rnacentral:rRNA from 1 species